rnacentral:misc_RNA from 1 species
UCCCUGUUACCAGGGCAGUCUGAAUAGAAAAAUACAACUAUUCACAAGGGUUGCGCUCGUUGAUGGACUUAACCAAACAUCUCACGACACGAGCUGACGACGGCCAUGCAUCACCUGUCACUUGGCUCAAUAAAGCACUCUUGCCUUUCGGCAAAAUUCCAAGGAUGUCAAGCCUGGGUAAGGUUCUUCGCUUACCAUCGAAUUAAACAACACGCUCCACCGCUUGUGCGGGUCCCCGUCAAUUCCUUUAUGUUUUAGCCUUGCGGCCGUACUCCACAGGCGGGAUGCUUAACGCGUUAGCUUCGCUACAGAAGGGGUCGAUACCUCCUACAGCUAGCAUCCAUCGUUUACGGCGUGGACUAC